AACCAUAGAAACCUGCGGAGUACCUGCGGAAGGAUCAUUACCGAGUGCCAGCCCCCCGCGGGCUGAACCUCCCACCCUUGUCUCUGAUACACCCUGUUGCUUUGGCGGGCCCACCGGGGUCCUCCCCGGUCGCCGAGGGGCAUCCCGCCCCUGGGCCCGUGCCCGCCGGAGCGCCCGUGAACCCGAAUGAAGAUGGAUUGUCUGAGUGUGGGAUGAGAAUUGUCAAAACUUUUAGCAACG
rnacentral:misc_RNA from 1 species